CACGUAGUUAGCCGUGGCUUUCUCGUUAGGUACCGUCAAGGUAACGCCAGUUACUGCGUUACUUGUUCUUCCCUAACAACAGAGCUUUACGACCCGAAGGCCUUCUUCGCUCACGCGGCGUUGCUCCGUCAGACUUUCGUCCAUUGCGGAAGAUUCCCUA
rnacentral:rRNA from 1 species